rnacentral:rRNA from 1 species
CCUACGGGUUGCAGCAGUGGGGAAUAUUGCACAAUGGGCGAAAGCCUGAUGCAGCCAUGCCGCGUGUGUGAAGAAGGCCUUCGGGUUGUAAAGCACUUUCAGUCAGGAGGAAAGGGUGUGAGUUAAUACCUCAUAUCUGUGACGUUACUGACAGAAGAAGCACCGGCUAACUCCGUGCCAGCAGCCGCGGUAAUACGGAGGGUGCGAGCGUUAAUCGGAAUUACUGGGCGUAAAGCGUACGCAGGCGGUUUGUUAAGCGAGAUGUGAAAGCCCCGGGCUCAACCUGGGAACUGCAUUUCGAACUGGCAAACUAGAGUGUGAUAGAGGGUGGUAGAAUUUCAGGUGUAGCGGUGAAAUGCGUAGAGAUCUGAAGGAAUACCGAUGGCGAAGGCAGCCACCUGGGUCAACACUGACGCUCAUGUACGAAGGCGUGGGGAGCAAACGGGAUUAGAUACCCCAGUAGUC